UACAGAGGGUGCGAGCGUUGUCCGGAAUCACUGGGCGUAAAGGGCGCGUAGGUGGCGACCCAAGUCCGUGGUGAAAGCUCGUCGCUUAACGACGAGUCGGCCACGGAGACUGGGUGCUCGAGCACUGUAGGGGCAGAUGGAAUUCCGGGUGUAGCGGUGGAAUGGCGUAGAGAGUCCGGAAAGAACACCAGUGGCGAAGGCGGUCUGCUGGGCAGUUGCUGACACUGGAGGCGCGACAGCGUGGGGAGCAAACAGG
rnacentral:rRNA from 1 species